rnacentral:rRNA from 1 species
AUGGAGCUUGUGACUUGGAACUGCCGGGGGUUGGGAAACCCCCCGGCAGUUCGCGGACUCCUGGACAUCCAGAAGUCCGAGGACCCAGACAUCUUGUUUGUGUCCGAAACAAAGCUUCCAGGGAAAAUAAUGGAGAGGUUUAAUUGGAUGUUGGGUUUUCCAUGCAUGGUUGCGAGGGAUAGUGAAGGAAAGAGUGGGGGUGUGGUUGUGUUUCGGAGGAGAGGGUUACAAGUGGAGUUGCGCAAUCUCUCUAGGUUUCACAUCGACCUAGAGAUCCGAGAGGAGGACGGUUUCAAGUGGAGGUUCACCGGCAUGUACGGGGAGCCGAGGGCGGAGAAUAAAUUUUUGACGUGGAAGCUGAUGAGGAUUCUUCACAACCAAGUCUCACUGCCAUGGUUGUGCGUGGGAGAUUUUAACGACGUGCUUCUUGCUGAAGAGAAAGAGGGAGGAAGAGAGAAAGGCCAGGCAUGCAUGGAUAAGUUCAAACAGGCUCUAGAUUUCUGUGGCCUGGAGGAUCUUGGCUUUGAGGGUGACAGGUUUACUUGGCAAAACAACUAUCACAGAUGGGAAAUUACAUCUAGGAGAGGUUGGAUAGAGCCGUAG